AGGCCAGAAGGUAGCACCAGAUGCUCGAAACUGACAUCAAAUUCCCUAAGGCUGAAGUUACCGAUGGCUGUGAAUCACCCGAGAUGAGUACCAGGACCAAAUCAAGUUCUCUGCCAGAGCGAUGGACUGGACAGUGGCUCAUAAUGCUGAAAUUAAGCAGAAAGGACCUUGGAAAUUUCUUCAGCCCCUACAUCUAAGGGACCACUUGUUCUUUGGUUGCACAAUUGACUGUAAUCCAACAAACAGUAAAGAACUACAAAGUGAUCUGCUGAAGGCUCCGCUGUCAUCAUCUGUUUAACUCUGAACGUCUUCAGCAAUGUCAAGACACACAUCUAAUCAGAUGGAAGACAGAAGAGUACCUUGAAUUUGCUUGGUGGCACCCGAUUCUAAGCCCGGUAGAAAGAAGAGAAGAACUUCAGGAGUCGGGGAAUCUGAUAAAUUCAGAAUCAUUUCGGGAAGGAUUUGGAGUCCUUGUCACUCUGCCCUGCCACCGUGCUCCUCUUGUUUGUAUUGUUUGGGAUUUUAAGAAUAAAAUUGUCAUAGGCCCA